AGCACACAACGCUCAACUCUCUCUCUCGCUUAAAGCUCCUGCCGCCACCAUCAACACCAGCUGCCGCCACUUUCCACCGCCUCCAUCACCACCGCAGCUCCUCCACGGUACCACAGCAGCGGCAGCAACUGAGAACACCAGCAACCGGAAGCUACAGCAGAAACAGCAGCCGAACAGAAGCUGCAGCAGCCGUCGAGAGCAGCAGUAGCGAGCAAGCUCGGCCGCGCUGCCCCGUCGCGUCGUCGCCUCGCUUGCCGCGCCACCACCGUGAAACACCACCCUCCCUCCGUUUCCCAGAUUGGAAACUCCCUUUUUGAGCAACAGUAGCAGCGGCACAGCAGCCACUCUGCCUCAGCUCACCCCGCCUCUCCGGACUCGCCACCGGAGCUACGUCGGCCACCGUCGUCACCGACACGACCUUCCUGCACCACCACUCUCGUAAGAUCAGCCGAGAAAGCCGUGGAACAGCAAGGGAAACGUUGAUUAAAGCUCUCUGAUCUUUCGCCGAAACUUGAGCAAAAGCACGAGUCUCUUUGCCGGUUUAUUUCGUCGCCGACCGGCCACGAGGCCGCAAACCGAGAACACGUAGCCGUUCAUCUAUCUACAGGCUACCACCACCAACAAUCGAAAAGCUCAAACACUCUACAUCUCCCAAACCAAUAGCCGCAAUAUCCUCCAGCGAAACGACGUUAUUGAACGAUCUCAAGAACGUUUCUUCUCGUUCUUGGUCUCUCUCACGACCGCCUCGUCUCCUGCGACAGCCAGAGAGCAGGCCCUUUGCCGCUGGACACCGUUCACUCUUUUUCUUUGGCCCUCACAGUCGAGAAUUCAAGGAAACAACCCUUUUUUCCUUCGUUUAAAGGCUUUUGCGAACUCUCGUUCGCCAAGUUAAAUGUCGGAUAUUGAGCGAUUAGGCGAGACUCGUGGACUCAUACGAGUUGGAGACGAUCGGAAUUCGUCGUUUGCUUACGAGGCUAGGUUUGAGGAACCGAAGCACCAGAAUCUAACCACACAAAAGAAAAGAGAAAGCGAGGAUGACAGGUGGGCAUUUUCUAACCCUAAUACGUGGGCCUCGCGAACCCUCUUAUGUGGGUUAAAAAUAUAAAAUAUUUCCAAUGAAAGUUAUUAUUAUUAUUAUCUUGAAAAUGUGCUUUAUAAAUCGUUGACUUGCCAUGUUUUUGUUGAGUAAUGAUGAGAUGUAUGUUGACCUGCUACCAUGAGAUAACGAUCGGCCUUGAACUAUGUGAGCCGACGGGCUACUAGUUAAGGUAUGUGCACAGUGGUGAUUGUGAGCCGUUGUCAUGCAUCGGCCGGUCACGGGGUUGAGAAGGAAGCCUCCUUCUCUUCGCCCAUGUUGAUGAUAUUGUUGAGAUGUCAUGAUGAUGAUGAUGGGUAGAUGUGGUCCAUACACGAUAUUGUUGUCGGCUUAUGAUACGAGAAAUGAUGAUGAUUGCAUAAAUUGUUUUGUGAUAUAGCAUAUACAGGUAUUUUCUCCAUCAAAUAUUAUACCUUGUGUAUGUUCAAAAUGGGCAAGUUCAACAUAUAGCUCUAAGUAGCAAGAUUUCAAUUAUUUUCGGCAUAUGUCCACUGAGUAAUAACUAUGUUACUCAGCCCUGCAUAUAUUUCUAAAUGUGCAGGUUAGGUUGGACGGGAGAGGAGGAGAAGGAGGAGGCUUUACACUCAAGGUGGUCAUAACAUUUGAAACAUAUUCGAUGACUUAUACGAAUUUCCCAUCUUUGCUUUCUUAAUCGGAGUAAAUUUGUCAUGAUUGACUUGAAAUAAAAUUAGUAUCUUUUCUUGUUGAUA